rnacentral:misc_RNA from 1 species
UCUGGAGCUCAGCAAGCACUGAGGAGGACAAUGGAAAUAUAUUCGAACUCCACUCGCUUUGCUCUUGCCUGCAAUACUUCUUCGAAGAUUAUCGAGCCUAUUCAAAGUAGAUGUGCCCUGGUUCGAUUUGCAAGAUUAUCUGACCAAGAGAUCCUUGGACGCCUUAUGGCUGUAGUUGCAGCAGAAAAGGUUGCUUAUGUACCUGAAGGCCUUGAAGCUAUUAUAUUUACUGCUGAUGGAGACAUGAGACAGGGCUUAAAU